rnacentral:rRNA from 1 species
CGGACGAACGCUGGCGGCGUGCCUAACACAUGCAAGUCGAGCGAGAAGCUUACAAGCAAGCCUUCGGGCGAGCGAGUAAGCGGAAAGCGGCGGACGGGUGAGUAACGCGUGAGCAAUCUGCCUUAAGGAGGGGGAUAACACAGAGAAAUCUGUGCUAAUACCGCAUAACAUAUAUAUUUCGCAUGGGAUAUAUAUCAAAGCUCCGGCGCCUUAAGAUGAGCUCGCGUCCGAUUAGUUAGUUGGUAGGGUAAAGGCCUACCAAGGCGACGAUCAGUAGCCGGCCUGAGAGGGUGACCGGCCACACUGGGACUGAGACACGGCCCAGACUCCUACGGGAGGCAGCAGUGGGGAAUCUUCCGCAAUGGGCGAAAGCCUGACGGAGCAACGCCGCGUGGGUGAAGAAGGCCUUCGGGUUGUAAAGCCCUGUCUUAUGGGACGAGGAGGAGACGGUACCAUAGGAGGAAGCCACGGCUAACUACGUG